UGAUAGUGAACUACAACUAAGGACG
rnacentral:piRNA from 2 species